GACGAACGCUGGCGGCGUGCUUAACACAUGCAAGUCGAACGGAAAGGCCCUGCUUUUGUGGGGUGCUCGAGUGGCGAACGGGUGAGUAACACGUGAGUAACCUGCCCUUGACUUUGGGAUAACUUCAGGAAACUGGGGCUAAUACCGGAUAGGAGCUCCUGCUGCAUGGUGGGGGUUGGAAAGUUUCGGCGGUUGGGGAUGGACUCGCGGCUUAUCAGCUUGUUGGUGGGGUAGUGGCUUACCAAGGCUUUGACGGGUAGCCGGCCUGAGAGGGUGACCGGGGACAGUGGGAAAGAGAGAGGGAGAGGAGGCGGACGGGAGGAAGGAGGGGGGAGGAGGGCGGAGGGGGGGGGAGCUGGAGGCAGCAACGGCGGGUGCGGGAGGACGGGCGUCGGGUGGGAAAAAGAUGUGGCAUGAGAAGAAGGGGGAGGGACGGGAAGGGGUAAGGAAGAAACGGCUAACUAAGUG
rnacentral:rRNA from 1 species